UACGUAGGGUGCGAGCGUUGUCCGGAAUUAUUGGGCGUAAAGAGCUUGUAGGCGGUUUGUCGCGUCUGCUGUGAAAAUCCGGGACUCAACCCCGGACCUGCAGUGGGUACGGGCAGACUAGAGUGUGGUAGGGGAGACUGGAAUUCCUGGUGUAGCGGUGAAAUGCGCAGAUAUCAGGAGGAACACCGAUGGCGAAGGCAGGUCUCUGGGCCGAUACUGACACUGAGAAGCGAAAGCGUGGGGAGCGAACAGG
rnacentral:rRNA from 1 species